rnacentral:rRNA from 5 species
CGGAGGGAAACCGAGUCUUAAUUGGGCGUUAAGUUGCAGGGUAUAGACCCGAAACCCGGUGAUCUAGCCAUGGGCAGGUUGAAGGUUGGGUAACACUAACUGGAGGACCGAACCGACUAAUGUUGAAAAAUUAGCGGAUGACCUGUGGCUGGGGGUGAAAGGCCAAUCAAACCGGGAGAUAGCUGGUUCUCCCCGAAAGCUAUUUAGGUAGCGCCUCGUGAAUUCAUCUCCGGGGGUAGAGCACUGUUUCGGCUAGGGGGCCAUCCCGGCUUACCAACCCGAUGCAAACUGCGAAUACCGGAGAAUGUUAUCACGGGAGACACACGGCGGGUGCUAACGUCCGUCGUGAAGAGGGAAACAACCCAGACCGCCAGCUAAGGUCCCAAAGUCAUGGUUAAGUGGGAAACGAUGUGGGAAGGCCCAGACAGCCAGGAUGUUGGCUUAGAAGCAGCCAUCAUUUAAAGAAAGCGUAAUAGCUCACUGGUCGAGUCGGCCUGCGCGGAAGAUGUAACGGGGCUAAACCAUGCACCGAAGCUGCGGCAGCGAACGUAUCACCCAAGACAACUUUACGGAGUUGACGAUUGACGGAGCGAAGCGACGUCAAAGCGUUCAUUAAAGUCGAGUUGGCUUAGGGAUACGUUCGUUGGGUAGGGGAGCGUUCUGUAAGCCUGUGAAGGUGUGUCGUGAGGCAUGCUGGAGGUAUCAGAAGUGCGAAUGCUGACAUAAGUAACGAUAAAGCGGGUGAAAAGCCCGCUCGCCGGAAGACCAAGGGUUCCUGUCCAACGUUAAUCGGGGCAGGGUGAGUCGACCCCUAAGGCGAGGCCGAAAGGCGUAGUCGAUGGGAAACGGGUUAAUAUUCCCGUACUUGGUGUUACUGCGAAGGGGGGACGGAGAAGGCUAUGUUGGCCGGGCGACGGUUGUCCCGGUUUAAGCGUGUAGGUGUGUGUUCCAGGUAAAUCCGGUUCACUUUAACACUGAGGCGUGACGACGAGGCACUACGGUGCUGAAGCAACAAAUGCCCUGCUUCCAGGAAAAGCCUCUAAGCAUCAGGUAACACGAAAUCGUACCCCAAACCGACACAGGUGGUCAGGUAGAGAAUACCAAGGCGCUUGAGAGAACUCGGGUGAAGGAACUAGGCAAAAUGGUGCCGUAACUUCGGGAGAAGGCACGCUGACACGUAGGUGAAGUGAUUUACUCAUGGAGCUGAAGUCAGUCGAAGAUACCAGCUGGCUGCAACUGUUUAUUAAAAACACAGCACUGUGCAAACACGAAAGUGGACGUAUACGGUGUGACGCCUGCCCGGUGCCGGAA